rnacentral:rRNA from 1 species
AUUGAACGCUGGCGGCACGCUUAACACAUGCAAGUCGAGCGGAAACGAUGGGAGCUUGCUCCCAGGCGUCGAGCGGCGGACGGGUGAGUAAUGCGUAGGAAUUUGCCUUAAAGAGGGGGACAACCCGGGGAAACUCGGGCUAAUACCGCAUAAUACCUAAGGGUCAAAGGGGGCCUCUGUUUCAUGCUUCCGCUUUAAGAUGAGCCUACGUCCGAUUAGCUUGUUGGUGGGGUAAUGGCCUACCAAGGCGACGAUCGGUAGCUGGUCUGAGAGGAUGAUCAGCCACACUGGGACUGAGACACGGCCCAGACUCCUACGGGAGGCAGCAGUGGGGAAUAUUGGACAAUGGGGGAAACCCUGAUCCAGCGAUGCCGCGUGUGUGAAGAAGGCCUGCGGGUUGUAAAGCACUUUCAGUGGGAAGGAUGGUACUGUUCGCUAAUAUCGGACAGUAUUGACGUUACCCACAGAAGAAGCACCGGCUAACUCCGUGCCAGCCGCCGCCGUAACAC